GAAGGGAUAGCUCAGUGGUAGAGUGCAUGCCUAGCAUGCAUGAGGUCCUGGAUUCAAUCCCCAGUACCUCCA
rnacentral:tRNA from 1 species